rnacentral:rRNA from 1 species
UACGUAGGGGGCGAGCGUUGUCCGGAUUUAUUGGGCGUAAAACGCUUGUAGGCGGCCGCAUCGCGUCGUGCGUGAAAUCUCCCGGCUCAACUGGGAGGGGUCGUGCGAUACGGAUGGGCUCGAGGCCGGUAGGGGGACGCGGAAUUCCCGGUGUAGUGGUGGAAUGCGUAGAUAUCGGGAGGAACCCCAGUGGCGCAGGCGGCGUCCUGGACCGGCACUGACGCUGAGGAGCGAAAGCGUGGGGAGCGAUCCGG